ACACUGUAAAAUGUAAUAGCUGAGCUUACUAAAAAGAUUAAGUAAACUUAACUUAUUUAAUUAAGUUUGUUAACCUUACUUAGUUUAACUAAGUAAUCCCAACUUUUUUCUAUGCAAACUCAAGUCAACUUGAUUAAACUUAACAGAUUAAUUUAGCUCAACUUAAAAUUUCAAGUAUUUUCAAAAAGGAUGACUGCACAGUAGGUGGCAGUAAUGCUCCCAAGGAGUAAGUGGUGGCUUAACUGAGUGGUUAACUGAAGAAGACGACAACAGCACAUGGUCGGAUAAGAGCAUGAGGAGGAGCUUGUUUCUUUGAAGAGAGCACAUACCCUUCAUGGAAAGUCAGUAACGUUACUGUGGAGUACAACCAAGUCGCAAGCAAAAACCUCAAGCAAGAAUUGUUCUCAUCCCUUGCUAAACAUGGUUUUUGAAGAUUUUGAAUGAAAGAAAAGUUUAAAAGCUCUCUUGAGUAUCUAAUAAACAUCACUGAUGUCACUGCUCGGUGGACGGUAGUUCUCUGUGGUCUUGCUAUCCUUCUUGCAGAAGACACUACAGACUUCCUGAAAACAAACAUGGACUGUGAUGGUGACCCACCUCAACUAUCAAUAGGAAUUCUCAGUCUGGUGCCGGAGGACAGACCCAUUUCUCCACAUGGUUUACAACAAUUAUUUGGUAGGGUGUCACAGCCAUGGAUGGACUUGAGAAAGUAUCACAUGCCAUGUGUUUAGUUUUUGGACUGAUCGUUGUUUUAAAUAUGGAGUACCUCUUCACAGUUUAUUUUGAGUUGAUUCACAGGGUUUUUCUUUCCCUGGGGCACAAAUCACUAAAGUCAAAACUGCCAUCACUACAAAACAUACUAAUGUGAAGUAGUGUGUUUUGUGUGAAACAAGUCUGUGUUACUGUAGAUCUGUUGCAUUUUGGGGUUUUUAUUUUUCGUCAACCUGGAUACAAGUUCCAGAAAAACUCAACUUUAAUUGCUGCAAAACUUUGAUGUUUUAGUUAAG